rnacentral:lncRNA from 1 species
GUGAAGGAGCACCAACAUUUGAGCAGCCUACGAUGACCCUGGACACGCUCAUGGAGUACGGUAAGAUGCUGGUGAUGGAGCAGGAUAAUGUGAAGAGGGUGCAGCUGGCGGACAAGUACAUGAGCGAGGCUGCGCUUGGAGAUGCCAAUCAGGAUGCCAUGAAGACUGGAAAUUACUAUGGUUAGCACUCUAAUCCUAGGGGCCUUGAUGGGAGGUUUGCAUCUCGCUUCUAGAUCGACUAGUCCUUCCUGAAGGCUAACAAAGCCUUUUCUUGUUUCCCUAAUAUACACAGGCAGCAAAUAAGAUUGGGCUUUUCGCUUAUCUGUUUGUUACCUGGGUGCAGGCCAAGCAGCCCAACAAGUCCAUGUGCCAGUUCCAGAAGGCUGCACCGAUCCAUCUGCUAAAAAUUACGAUCCUACGGCUAGGAGCGAUGAUGGAAGCUGCGUAUAUACACUUUAAGCUUUGUGAUUGACGGGAAGCCUGGCAAAUAAUCUUUUUUUAUUAUAUAUAUAUAUAAGCAAUGACUUAAUGGAGUAAUCGUAUUAGAACUUUAUGUACCUAUGCUAUACUUGUGUGUACUUUCUUUCAUUUAUAAAUGGGUUUUCUUUUAUGAUUGACUGAUUUGCUGCGACUAGAUAAGAUGGUAACGUGAAGGGCCAUUCAAGCUCUCUAUGAAAUAUGUGGCAAUCGUAGGAUCGGACUUGGAGCGUCGAUGGGAGCUGUUUGGAUGCAUUAUAAGACAUGAGCAUGGUCAUGUGAUCGGUGGAACACAGAUCUCAAAGUAACAAUUGCGCAAUCAGAUGGUGGUCUCGUGCGAAGGAAGGUGGAUCCUUCUUGCGUGCGAAAGCUAUACAAAACACUUGCGUGGUUUGGAGUUUAGUUUUGUCAGGGCCGGCCUAGGCUGAGGCGGUCGCCUAAGGCUCUGGUCCAAAGAAAGUCCACUUUAGAAAGGCCUCAAGGACAAAACAGAAAGAAAAAUGCUCUCUUUAGUGAGUUCGCCUUAGGCCACCCCACUGUAGGAAAGGUCUUAAAUACAAAAUAAAAGAAAAAAUACUCCUUUUAAUGAGUUCGCCUUAGGCUCUCAAAUGCAUUGAACCGCUCCUGAGUCCCGUGAUCACAUAAUCUUGCAAGGCGAAAGCCUCCUACCAUUCUCUCAAGUUCUGCAUGUGCUAGAAUGUUGCCGCCCUUGAUGUCUCUAUUUAUUGACAACUUGCUCCCAUUCCUCGUACAAGUAGAAAGCUUAGAUGCCACAUUCUUGAUUAUUUGAAAGCGUAGAACAGCACACUAUCUGAAAUAGAUCAAUUGUGCUGGCCUACAAUCCAGAGCAAACAACAAACAUAACAAAAAAAUAAAAAUAUAAAUUUGCAGAAAAUUUUGAGAAGAAAAUAAGUGGAAGAAAAAAAAUGAAAGAGAAAAAUAAAUUUAUUCAAAAAAAGCCAAAAUAAAUAGUUUUCUCAUAAAAAAAAGACUCACCCCUCCAAUGCCUUUCUCAACCGCCAAAAAGAAUUUGUUCACUUAGCUCGUUCUCCAUAUUUAUAAAAGCACACUCUCUCUUCCCCGAAAGAAAGAAAUAUAUUGAGUCUUAAAAGUAACACUAGAAAGUAAACUAUUCCAACUAGAAUUGGAAUAGAAAACAAAGAUAUAAAUAGAACAAGCAGUAUACUUCAACAAAAACUUUGAACCUAGUCAAGCAUAGAUUGGGGUCGAUCAAACUGAACAUGUCGAGGCUGCCAUUAAGCAUGAAGUCAUAGUCCAGUCAGAGCUCUCCGUUUGGCGGGCAACAAGACAAGGAGCUGCACCAAGUUCUUGCGACGGAGCCGACCCCCAUGCUUAUAAUUUUUGCAAUAAACUCUCUCUCUCUCUCUCUCAUCCCUUGUCUUCAUUCCCAUGAGACUUUCUUCACUGCGACUUGGUUAUUGCUGAUGGGCAGCAAACCUUUGCAGACCAUGCCAAACCUCCACCUGGGCCAGCCCGGUCCAAUAGUGAAAACCCCUAAGCUCCCAUAGCUCCCUUGACGACUAUGGUGCUCCUGUCCCUUUUGUUGGGCCUCGUCGUGAAUAGCCGGCCGACAAACUUGGUGCCACUCCCGAAGUAUUCCUUGGAAGUAAACGUCCGAAGAAAAAAAGAAAGAAAGAAAGAAAACGAGAACAUCUAUGAAGUCUUUGCCACCCAUUCUCCACAGAGCCAUCUACAAGACUGCAACACUUCCUGAUGAAUAGAUCACCAAUAAUUUCUUCUGUUUUCUUCCACCUCUUCUUCAUCCUCUUUGCAAUGGCGGAGCAGAACAAGGAAUUUCGGCAUCCCCAAGAUGAUAAACCACCCCAUCCAGCAAAGUGAGUUGCUUAGUAUUUCUUACUUAUUUUUACUCUCUUAUGUGUCUCCUUCUAUCAAUCGUAUUCUAAAAUAACAGUUAUCUAUUUGUCAUGCGCUACCAAAUGUAAUGUAGAAGUCUCUCACACAUUACUUUUUUUCGAUGUCCUCUUCCAACUUUUAUAUAUGGGCCGAUCAAAUGGAUAAACCUAGUUCAUUAUUAGCUGAGUUGAAUGUUACACAAUAAUACAUAAAAUACGAACACAAAUAAAAAAAAAUGCAGAACUAAAAUGAACAUACUUUGGCCUGAAUUGAGGUUUUCAAGAAAUAACAACACCUCUCAACAAUAUUGUAAUAAAUGCAAAAAGGAAGGGAAAAGAAAUAGGAGAGAAGGCAAGAAGGAAGAGAAAAUACCUUGAGCCGGGAUAAAGAGGUUUCUGCGAGUGGAGUGAUCGAUCGAACGUAUUGCCGAUUUUACGAAAGCAGGAAACUGGAAUGCGGGAUUGGAGAGGGCCCGUGGAGGUCCAAUUCCGGUUCAAGCCUUGGGUCCGUGUCCAUCGUAAUAAGGGCCCCGAUCUAAUGGAUAGGCCCGGUCCGCAUAACUCAAAAUAUUAUGACACGUCACACCCAUAUGUAUGGGAUGACGAGUGAUGAGAAAUGGACACACCAUCUGCCACCGAAUUAUUUAUUUGUCUUUCUUGUAAGUUUGUCGACCGUGAAAGAGACAAGAAGGAAGAAAGUCAUCAUACGAUUGUAAAACCUGUCCACAUGCAUAAUUAGGUCCGCUUAAUUUUCUAUAGAGACAGCGGUAAAUGAAUGGCUAUGCUGCCUUUGAAGAGGUUGUUUUAAUAUUAAAAAAAAACCUUUGAUUUGUAAGUAAUUGCCUACAUAAUAGGAUAACCCUCCCUCAAAUACUCUUAACCCCAUAACCUUGAUCAAGGUAGGAUAUUAUAUCAUGGACCUAUUUUACCAUAAUUAGUAGUAAGGCUUUCUUUUCCCUUUUAAUUUAUAAGUGGGAUGUUGCUAAUUGAACUUCUUCAUGAAAAUUUACUCCUUUUGUUUUUUCAAUGAUGCCAAUUAAACAUUGCUAUGUAACUUAUCCUUUGGUUCUCUUACUCAAGCUAGCUUUCUCUUUACCUCAAUCCACUAUAGAUUUUAGAGGUCCAUCUUAAUUCUCAUCUCCUCGAGUAAAGUGCCAGGUUUAGACAUAC